AUCUCUUUACUAAGUUUAAUCCUUUUACCCCUAUUUUUUUCUUUUAUAUAAAGUUAUAAAAAUUUUAUAAAAAAUUUUUAUAUUUUAAAACAAUAAAAUUAAAUAAAAUAUAAAGUAUUAUAAAAGAAUUUUGAAAUAUACUAUAAAAUUAAAUAAAUAAAAGGAGAUUUUCUUACCUUUAGUAUUAUGGUUUUAUUAAAAAAAAGAAUAAAAUUUCUUUCCCCGAAAUUUAGGGAUUUAUCCUAAUUUUCUUAGAGAGUCUACAUAACUGUUACAAGAGUUAUUUUAAAAAUUUGGAUGGAAAUAAAAUGUUAAUCGACCUAAAUUAUAUCUGGUUUCUAAAAAAAAUAAUUUUAGUUAUAUCUGUAAAACUAAAAAUUAAUUAAAAAUUUUUAAUUAGUAAUACAAGAUAAGAAAAAGGAAGACAAGUUCCUUUUUCUAAUUGGAAAAACCAUAAAAUAAGAAAAGGACAAAAUUUUUAAAAAGAAAUAUUUUAUAAGUAGGCCUAAUAGCUGCCAACUAUACAAAAAGCGUUACAGCUUAUUAUAAAUCUUUCAACAAUAUAUGACACUUCUCCUUAUCUAUAAAAUUAAUAUUUAGAAUUAAUAAUGUAAAAAUUAGUAAAUAAUAUACCUAUUUUCUAUUACAAGACUUUUUAUAAACAUAUAUAACCCAGAUAAAAAAAAUUUUAUUCAAGAAUUUUUUAUUUUUAUGUCCUAUCAACUCAGACUAAUACUAAAAAGAAAAAAAAUAUUGAAAGGAACUCGGCAAAAAAGAAAAUGACUGUUUACCAAAAACAUAGCUUCUUGUUUUUUAUAAGAAGUGAUGCCUGCCCAAUGAUUUUUUAAUGGCCGCGGUAUUUUGACCGUGCUAAGGUAGCAUAAUAAUUUGUUUUUUAAAUAAAAACUAGUAUGAAUGGCUUUUCAUUUUCUAACUGUCUCUCAUUAUUCUCUUUUAAAUUUCUAUUUCUGUGAAGAAGCAGAAAUAUCUUAGUAAGACGAGAAGACCCUAUCGAGCUUUAGCUAAUAAAAUUAAACUAAAAUUAUUUUUAAGCUUUGGUUGGGGCAACCAUGGAGAAAAUAAACCUCCAGACCUAAAAGAAGAAAUUUUUUCUCUUUUAAUUUAUUGAACCAAUUUUUUGGAAAACAGAAAUAGUUACCGUAGGGAUAACAGCGUAAUCUUCUUUAAGAGCCCUUAUUGACAAGAAGGUUUGCGACCUCGAUGUUGGAUUGGGGCACCCAAAAAGUGCAGACGCUUUUUAAGGUUGGACUGUUCGUCCAUUAAAGCCCUACAUGAUCUGAGUUCAGACCGACGUAAGUCAGGUCAGCUUCUAUCUACUUUUAAAAUUUUUUCAGUACGAAAGGACCAAAAAAUUCUCUUCUAUAAUUUCUUUACAAGAGAAAAUUUAUAAAAAUUUUAACGAAAAAAAACUUUCCGGCCAAUACUAGAUCAA
rnacentral:rRNA from 1 species